rnacentral:rRNA from 1 species
CCUACGGGAGGCAGCAGUGGGGAAUCUUCCGCAAUGGACGCAAGUCUGACGGAGCAACGCCGCGUGGGUGAUGAAGGUUUUCGGAUUGUAAAGCCCUGUCUGGAGGGAAGAAAUAAUGACGGUACCUCCGGAGGAAGCCCCGGCUAACUACGUGCCAGCAGCCGCGGUAAU